CACCGGCAGCUCAAGUGGUGGCCGUUUUUAUUGGGCCUAAAGCGUUCGUAGCCGGCUUGAUAAGUCUCUGGUGAAAUCCUGCAGCUUAACUGUGGGAAUUGCUGGAGAUACUAUUAGGCUUGAGGCCGGGAGAGGUUAGGGGUACUCCCAGGGUAGGGGUGAAAUCCUAUAAUCCUGGGAGGACCACCUGUGGCGAAGGCGCCUAACUGGAACGGACCUGACGGUGAGUAACGAAAGCCAGGGGC
rnacentral:rRNA from 1 species